rnacentral:rRNA from 1 species
GGGGAAUAUUGCACAAUGGGCGCAAGCCUGAUGCAGCCAUGCCGCGUGUAUGAAGAAGGCCUUCGGGUUGUAAAGUACUUUCAGCGAGGAGGAAGGCAUCAAGGUUAAUAACCUUGGUGAUUGACGUUACUCGCAGAAGAAGCACCGGCUAACUCCGUGCCAGCAGCCGCGGUAAUACGGAGGGUGCAAGCGUUAAUCGGAAUUACUGGGCGUAAAGCGCACGCAGGCGGUCUGUCAAGUCGGAUGUGAAAUCCCCGGGCUCAACCUGGGAACUGCAUUCGAAACUGGCAGGCUAGAGUCUUGUAGAGGGGGGUAGAAUUCCAGGUGUAGCGGUGAAAUGCGUAGAGAUCUGGAGGAAUACCGGUGGCGAAGGCGGCCCCCUGGACAAAGACUGACGCUCAGGUGCGAAAGCGUGGGGAGCAAAC